AGUGAACGCUGGCGGUAGGCCUAACACAUGCAAGUCGAACGGCAGCACAGUAAGAGCUUGCGCUUACGGGUGGCGAGUGGCGGACGGGUGAGGAAUACAUCGGAAUCUACUUGUUCGUGGGGGAUAACGUAGGGAAACUUACGCUAAUACCGCAUACGACCUACGGGUGAAAGCAGGGGAUCUUCGGGCCUUGCGCGAUUGAAUGAGCCGAUGUCGGAUGAGCGAGUUGGCGGGGUAAAGGCCCACCAAGGCGACGAUCCGUAGCUGGUCUGAGGGGAUGAUCAGCCAAACUGGACCUGAGACACGGUCCAGACUCCUACGGGAGGCAGCGGGGGGGAAUUUGGGACAAUGGGCGCAACCCUGAUCCAGCCAUACCGCGUGAGUGAAGAAGGCCUUCGGGUUGUAAAGCCCUUUUGUUGGGAAAGAAAAGCAGCAGGUUAAUACCCCGCUGUUCGGACGGUACCUAAAGAAUAGACACCGGCUACCUUCGU
rnacentral:rRNA from 1 species